CGUAGGGCGCGAGCGUUGUCCGGAUUUAUUGGGCGUAAAGAGCUCGUAGGCGGCUUGUCGCGUCGUCCGUGAAAACCCACAGCUCAACUGUGGGCUUGCGGUCGAUACGGGCAGGCUAGAGUUCGGUAGGGGAGACUGGAAUUCCUGGUGUAGCGGUGAAAUGCGCAGAUAUCAGGAGGAACACCGGUGGCGAAGGCGGGUCUCUGGGCCGAUACUGACGCUGAGGAGCGAAAGCGUGGGGAGCGAACAGG
rnacentral:rRNA from 1 species